rnacentral:lncRNA from 1 species
AUUCUCAUCCUCUCUUUCCAGUAUGUAUAAUUUGUACCAUCGAAUAGCGGUGGUCGGGUAGAGCAUUGUCCUUCACCUAUUCCUGCAAAAGAAUCACGAGUAGAAGCCACGGAUGUUUCUCUCAAACGGUUAAGUCUUCAGAGAGUUGGGCUCUGAUACCAAUUGUUAGAUAAUACGCUUAACGCUAGAGGGGGGGGGG